rnacentral:lncRNA from 1 species
UCCAGUUGGAAGGCAGAACCUUGGACAGGGAUGGCCACAACUUCCUCUGAGAUCAGAGGAAAGAGGCAAGGAUGACGAGAGUGAAGAGAGCCUGGUGCUAGAGGGGCUGUGUGGACAGGCUCAGCAGACACCUCAGAUGGGACCUCUGUGGACUGAUGAUUCAAGGACCACCUCCCCUCCAACCUGCCUGCUUCAACACAAAUCGUGUUCAUGGAGCUUCAACACCACCCUGGGAAAAACAGGGAGAGGAAACCCAGAAUAAAUGGAAAAUACGUUUCUGACCAUCAGGUGGAAUAGGAACUUGAAAUAGAAAUAGAGUUAUAGAAAAAAUUUAAAAAUUCCUAUUUCUGAUAUCACUGAGUUUAUGAGAGACUCAUUGUGGCAGGGGCAGCAGCAGAGACUCGUGACAAAGAUGCCAGCUCCAGCAGACACAGCCCCCAGGAUGGCCAACGGCCCAGCCCAGGAGGAAAACAGGAGAGUUUGGCAGUGACCAGAGGAAACGAGUCUCUGCGAGAGAGAGGAGUCAUUCGAUCACACUGCCUGGGGCUCCUUUGUGAGGAGGAAUGAGAACUUGGAAAAACUCCUAUACUAUACGCUGUAUACUUACUUUUUAGUCCAAAGUGUGGGUCAGUUAUUUCAAACAAAUCCACUCGGCAGCUAAAUAAAGACCUGAGUUAAACCAAGAAGCCCUCCAAGGAUGCUUUCUCUCUCAUGGCCGGGACCAAGUGGGUUCUGCUUGACUGGUGGUGUGGCACCACGAGGACCAACCAGAGAAGCCAAAUAUGCAUCGCAACCAACCACAUGGGAUGCCCCGCUUCCAGAUAGCCCACCUGCAGAUCCCUGACGCCAACAGCCUCCAGACAGGGCACACCUGGAGCCUGCCCUUUUCUACUCUAAAGCUUCCCCACUCCUCUGCUGCCUUUGGGUCUCUGCCAAAAUGCAGGUGAUGGCGGCUGACUCCCUUGCUGCAGCAAGCCCUG